CGGAGGCAGCAGUAAGGAAUUUUGGACAAUGGGCGAAAGCCUGAUCCAGCAAUGCCGCGUGCAGGAUGAAGGCCUUCGGGUUGUAAACUGCUUUUGUACGGAACGAAAAGUCUCGGGAUAAUACCCUGGGACCAUGACGGUACCGUAAGAAUAAGCACCGGCUAACUACGUGCCAGCAGCCGCGGUAAUACGUAGGGUGCAAGCGUUAAUCGGAAUUACUGGGCGUAAAGCGUGCGCAGGCGGUUAUAUAAGACAGAUGUGAAAUCCCCGGGCUCAACCUGGGAACUGCAUUUGUGACUGUAUAGCUAGAGUACGGCAGAGGGGGAUGGAAUUCCGCGUGUAGCAGUGAAAUGCGUAGAUAUGCGGAGGAACACCGAUGGCGAAGGCAAUCCCCUGGACCUGUACUGACGCUCAUGCACGAAAGCGUGGGGAGCAAACAGGAUUAGAUACCCGUGUAGUCCA
rnacentral:rRNA from 1 species